rnacentral:rRNA from 1 species
GUCUGUGGCCAUACCACCCCGAAGGCGCGGGGUCCGGGAAGCUAAGCAGGGUUAGGCCUGGUUAGUAUUUGGAUGGGGGACCCGCGGGAAAUGCUGGGUGCUGCAGGCU